CCGUAGAGUUUGAUCCUGGCUCAGGAUGAACGCUGGCGGUCUGCUUAACACAUGCAAGUCGAACGGUGUCUUCGGACACAGUGGCGGACGGGUGAGUAACGCGUGAGAAUCUACCUUCAGGUCGGGGAUAACCCCUGGAAACGGGGGCUAAUACCGGAUAGGUCGAAAGAUGAAAGGUUAACUGCCUGAAGAGGGGCUCGCGUCUGAUUAGCUAGUAGGUGUGGUAAGAGCGCACCUAGGCGACGAUCAGUAGCUGGUCUGAGAGGAUGAGCAGCCACACUGGGACUGAGACACGGCCCAGACUCCUACGGGAGGCAGCAGUGGGGAAUUUUCCGCAAUGGGCGAAAGCCUGACGGAGCAAGACCGCGUGGGGGAGGAAGGCCUUUGGGUUGUAAACCCCUUUUGUUAGGGAAGAAAAAAAUGACGGUACCUAACGAAUCAGCCUCGGCUAACUCCGUGCCAGCAGCCGCGGUAAUACGGAGGAGGCAAGCGUUAUCCGGAAUUAUUGGGCGUAAAGCGUCCGUAGGUGGCCCGGCAAGUCUGCUGUCAAAGACCACAGCUCAACUGUGGAAAGGCAGUGGAAACUGCAAGGCUAGAGUGCGGUAGGGGUAGAGGGAAUUCCCAGUGUAGCGGUGAAAUGCGUAGAGAUUGGGAAGAACACCGGUGGCGAAAGCGCUCUACUGGGCCGCAACUGACACUGAUGGACGAAAGCUAGGGGAGCGAAUGGGAUUAGAUACCCCAGUAGUCCUAGCUGUAAACGAUGGAAACUAGGUGUAGCACGUAUCGACCCGUGCUGUAUCGGAGCUAAACGCGUUAAGUUUCAGA
rnacentral:rRNA from 1 species